rnacentral:rRNA from 1 species
UUGAGAGUUUGAUCCUGGCUCAGAACGAACGCUGGCGGCAGGCCUAACACAUGCAAGUCGAGCGCUUCACUUCGGUGAGGAGCGGCGGACGGGUUAGUAACGCGUGGGAACAUACCCUUCUCUAAGGAAUAGCCACUGGAAACGGUGAGUAAUACCUUAUACGCCCUUCGGGGGAAAGAUUUAUCGGAGAAGGAUUGGCCCGCGUUAGAUUAGAUAGUUGGUGGGGUAAUGGCCUACCAAGUCUACGAUCUAUAGCUGGUUUGAGAGGAUGAUCAGCCACACUGGGACUGAGACACGGCCCAGACUCCUACGGGAGGCAGCAGUGGGGAAUCUUAGACAAUGGGCGCAAGCCUGAUCCAGCCAUGCCGCGUGAGUGAUGAAGGCCUUAGGGUCGUAAAGCUCUUUCGCCAGGGAUGAUAAUGACAGUACCUGGUAAAGAAACCCCGGCUAACUCCGUGCCAGCAGCCGCGGUAAUACGGAGGGGGUUAGCGUUGUUCGGAAUUACUGGGCGUAAAGCGCACGUAGGCGGAUCAGAAAGUUGGGGGUGAAAUCCCGGGGCUCAACCCCGGAACUGCCUUCAAAACUCCUGGUCUAGAGUUCGAGAGAGGUGAGUGGAAUUCCAAGUGUAGAGGUGAAAUUCGUAGAUAUUCGGAAGAACACCAGUGGCGAAGGCGGCUCACUGGC